rnacentral:lncRNA from 1 species
AACACAAGGUUUAUGACCAUAAAAGGAAGGUUGGAAUUGAUUUUGGGAGUUUUGGUCCCAACAGUUUAGGAAUUAGGGGCCCGAAGGGUCCAAAAUUAAACUUUGUUAGAUUUCAUCAAAAAUUGAAUAAUUGGGGUUCUUUGAUAUGCCGUAUCUAACUGUGUAUGUAGAUUCUUAAUUUUUGGUCCCGUUUUCAAAUUGGUCUACAUUAAGGUCCAAAGGGUCC